rnacentral:lncRNA from 1 species
UUUUUUUUUUUUUUUGGUUGGGGGGAGGGGGGGGGGGGAGGGACGGAGGUUUAAACUCUAAUCUUUCGCGAAUCUCCUAUCUUUACACCUUAAUAGCUUGUCUUUGAUCUUUCACUAUAAAGUAAACGACAUAUAGAGGUCAACCCUUAGAGCAAGGAGUUCAUUUUUCAAUUCAAUCCAUUAAUCUUUCUCUAAGUCUAAGGAGCAGCUGUCCUAAUUGAAGAAUGGAAUUUUCUCGACAGCCUCUGAUGCAUUCCUUAGUUUCUCUCUUUUUGUUUUCUUUUUUACCAGUACAAGCCCGCAUGCAUCAACUAUUCACACAUAAUAAGCACCCUUCUUCUCUGGUUUGCAUCAGAUAGACUUAAAGGUGUUAGGUAACUCCUUUGCAUUCGAUCAUCAUUAUUUCAAAAUCAACCCGCCUUUAGCCCCCCACAGAAUAAAACAGAUUAGUGGCCGAUCAAAACAAAUCUAUGAAACAGUUAUAAUAUGGUUGAACAUUAAGUGUUGAUAGGAUGAACUAAGUUAGGAUUAACAUUUAUAUAAUUAAAUAGAUAUUGAACAUCUAGUGCUUCUAUAAAAAGAAAUUCACGAACAAAUACAAUAUGAAAUCUAUGUAAAAAAUUUGAAGGGCUGCUAUCUGAGCCAGAAAGGCUGACACUCACGUCUCUCUCAUUUCUAGUGAUUUUGCCAAAUGCCAUUGUAGGACGAAGGAAACUUACAAGUUAAAAUCUCACUAAAGAAGCAGUAAAAUGCCACUAGGGAGAAAAGAAGCACUUCAUCUUCCCAUGACCUGCUGCAGAACAAUGAAGAUCCAAGUGCAGAAAGGUACGUGAAGCCUACACAUUAGUUUAAGAAAACUUGGAUUUCCUUUCGUACUGUAAAAUUCAAGAACUUAAGACGCUUAUCGGCUCUUUGACUUUUGCAGGUCCAACAGCUGCUCAAGUGACACCAAAGACCACCUGUCCUCUACUUGUGCAAAUACCUUCUGAUUGAGAGAAUCUAUAAUAAUGCUGAUUUUACCAAAACCAUAUAUCUGAUGACCAUCUUGCAUUCGCCCCGGCUUAAGCUGGAACAACAAAUCAUUCUGUUGUGCAUAAACUUCAAUAACUCUUUUCAAGUUCAUCUCAUCCCCGCCACCUGUACCGUCCAUUUGGAUUCCACUGUUCGAGCCCACAGAAGGACGGGAUUGAGAUUGCGCUGCUGCUUUUUUCUGAGUCUCAAACUGCCUUUGUUCAAGAACCCUAAGAUAACGUAUGUUCUCCCUCAAACCAGGUUCAGCCACCUCUGAGCCUUCAACAGCCUGGUUCAUCAUGUCUAGACCGACAUUAAGUCGAUAGCGAACGUGUUCAUUUGCCAGAAGUUCAGGUGGAAUAAGUUCCUUCCAACCCAAAUACCAUUUUGUCACUUCUUCAAAGUUCGGGUUUUUUGAGCAUAACCAGUGAUACAAAACUACUUCCCACUUGUUGAAGAAUAUAUCCAGUAUUGGAAGCAUGUGAUGGAUGGGAAUAGCAGUAGCCCAAGUACGGACCCAAUAGAACUGAUCAAGGUUCUGAUUUGCUGGAUUUAUUUGGAAUUC